UGUGUACUCCCUCCGUUCCAAAAUACUUGACUUCCAUUUAUCCAAAAAUGGAUGUACCUAUAUACUAAGACAUGUCUAGAUACAUAUAUAUUUUGACAAAUAGAAGGCAUGUAUUGUGCAACGGAGGGAGUAGAAU
rnacentral:pre_miRNA from 1 species